UUGUCUCAAAGAUUAAGCCAUGCAUGUCUCAGUACAAGCCGAAUUAAGGUGAAACCGCGAAAGGCUCAUUAAAUCAGUUAUGGUUCCUUAGAUCGUACCCACAUUUACUUGGAUAACUGUGGUAAUUCUAGAGCUAAUACAUGCAAACAGAGCUCCAACCGGAAACGGAAGGAGCGCUUUUAUUAGAUCAAAACCAAUCGGUGGCGGUUUCGCCGUCAUCGUACAACUUGGUGACUCUGAAUAACUUUAAGCUGAUCGCACGGUCUCGCACCGGCGACGCAUCUUUCAAAUGUCUGCCUUAUCAACUGUCGAUGGUAGGUUCUGCGCCUACCAUGGUUGUAACGGGUAACGGGGAAUCAGGGUUCGAUUCCGGAGAGGGAGCCUGAGAAACGGCUACCACAUCCAAGGAAGGCAGCAGGCGCGCAAAUUACCCACUCCCGGCACGGGGAGGUAGUGACGAAAAAUAACGAUACGGGACUCAUCCGAGGCCCCGUAAUCGGAAUGAGUACACUCUAAACCCUUUAACGAGGAUCAAUUGGAGGGCAAGUCUGGUGCCAGCAGCCGCGGUAAUUCCAGCUCCAAUAGCGUAUAUUAAAGUUGUUGCGGUUAAAAAGCUCGUAGUCGAAUCUGUGUCCCGCGCCGCCGGUUCAUCGUUCGCGGUGUUAACUGGCGUGUCGCGGGACGUCCUGCCGGUGGACUUAGCUCGAGAGGGCGGUCCAACUCAAUCCCGCCGCGGUGCUCUUCAUUGAGUGUCGAGGUGGGCCGGCACGUUUACUUUGAACAAAUUAGAGUGCUUAAAGCAGGCUAAAACUUCGCCUGAAUACUGUGUGCAUGGAAUAAUGGAAUAGGACCUCGGUUCUAUUUUGUUGGUUUUCGGAACCCCGAGGUAAUGAUUAAUAGGAACGGAUGGGGGCAUUCGUAUUGCGACGUUAGAGGUGAAAUUCUUGGAUCGUCGCAAGACGGACAGAAGCGAAAGCAUUUGCCAAAAACGCUUUCAUUGAUCAAGAACGAAAGUUAGAGGUUCGAAGGCGAUCAGAUACCGCCCUAGUUCUAACCAUAAACGAUGCCAGCUAGCGAUCCGCCGACGUUCUUUCGAUGACUCGGCGGGCAGCUUCCGGGAAACCAAAGCUUUUGGGUUCCGGGGGAAGUAUGGUUGCAAAGCUGAAACUUAAAGGAAUUGACGGAAGGGCACCACCAGGAGUGGAGCCUGCGGCUUAAUU
rnacentral:rRNA from 1 species